UACGGAGGGGGCAAGCGUUGUCCGGACUUACUGGGCGUAAAGGGCGCGUAGGCGGCCUUCUAAGUCGAACGUGAAAUCCCCGGGCUCAACCCGGGAACUGCGUCCGAUACUGGAAGGCUUGAAUCCGGGAGAGGGAUGUGGAAUUCCAGGUGUAGCGGUGAAAUGCGUAGAUAUCUGGAGGAACACCGGUGGCGAAGGCGACAUCCUGGACCGGUAUUGACACUGAGGCGCGAAAGCCAGGGGAGCAAACGGG
rnacentral:rRNA from 1 species